rnacentral:tRNA from 1 species
GCCCCUUUAGCUUAACGGAUAAAGCACAAGCCUCCGGAGCUUGUGAUGUGAGUUCGAUUCUCGCAGGGGGCACCA